GUGGAUUGAGUGAAUUCGCUGGGUUUAUAUUAUGCUGUGGUUUCGAAGCGGCUUGAUUGAAAAAAGAAAACAUAACCCUACUUAUGACAGUUCUUGCAGUGAUUCAAUAAUGGUUAAUAAAAACAUUUGUUGAAAUUAUAAAAUUUCGAAGCCUCUGCGUACCGGGUUUUUUUUACUUUUUUUUUUAAUUUAAGGACAGUUAUUUAAGUUUUUUUACAUGGCUGAUAGCGAAAAUGGUAGUUCUAGUCAGAACUCACUUGUAGUUAAACCAAUAAAUUUGGAAUGUAAAAAUUUAUAUGAUUACCUAAAAACAAGAUCAAGAUCGACUUUAGAAAAACUCUACAAUCACCCAACGAUUUGUUUAGCUGUGUACAGAGAAUUACCAGAGCUGGCAAGACAGUAUGUAAUACGUAUCUUAUUUGUUGAACAACCAGUUCCUCAAGCAGUUGUAGCUUCAUGGGGUGCUCAGGCUUUUUCAAAAGAACACAUUUAUGUAAGCAAAGUUCUAAGUGAACUUUCAGUGUGGCAAGAAGCAGCAAUUCCUGGUGGAUUGUUAGGUUGGAUUCUCUCAGUAACAUUUAAAAGAAAUCUUAAACUAGCUUUACUUGGAGGUGGAAAACCAUGGAGUAUGUCUUCAGCUUUGGAGGUUGACAGUAAGGCUAGAGACGUAUCAUUUCUUGAUGCUUAUUCAUUGGAAAGAUGGGAGUGUGUGUUACACUAUAUGGUGGGAUCACAACAACAAGAAGGCAUCUCAGCAGAUGCUGUACGAAUUUUAUUACACGCGGGUUUGAUGAAAAGAGACGAGGACGAUGGAAGCCCUGUGAUAACGCGUCAGGGUUUUCAGUUUCUUUUGUUAGAUCGCCAGGCACAAGUGUGGCAUUUUUUACUUCAGUAUUUGGACACCGUCGAACAACGGGGACUAAAUCUUGUCGAAUGUUUAACGUUUUUGUUCCAGCUGUCAUUCAGCACUUUGGGUAAAGACUACAGCACGGAAGGUAUGAGUCCUGGACUUCUAAUAUUCUUACAACAUCUGCGCGAGUUUGGUUUGGUGUAUCAGCGAAAAAGAAAAGUGGGACGGUUUUAUCCAACGCGCUUAGCUUUAAAUAUAACAUCAAUGCAGAACAGUGAAGGUCCAGUUUUAGAAGAAGAUACGCCAAAAGGUAAUAUUGUUGUAGAAACUAACUAUAGAGUAUACGCAUAUACCGAUUCCAACCUUCAAGUUGCUUUGAUUGGCUUAUUUACAGAAUUGUUGUAUAGAUUUCCAAAUUUAGUGGUUGGGGUAAUAACACGCGACUCCAUAAGACAAGCGUUAAAAGGCGGUAUCACUGCCGAUCAAAUAAUAGGUUAUCUUAAACAACAUGCGCAUACGCAGAUGCUACAAGGUGAAGUGAAACAACCUUUGCCACCUACUGUGGUUGAUCAGAUUAAACUGUGGGAAAUCGAGCGUAACCGGUUGGCCUAUUCAGAAGGAGUUUUGUAUAGUCAAUUUUUAUCACAGGCUGACUUUAAUAUAUUGAAAGAAUAUGCAGAAACAAACGGUUAUCUGAUUUGGUGCAACAAGGAGAAAAGAACGUUAAUUAUUAAUAAAUCUGCACAUGAUGAUGUGAAGAAAUUUUGGAAAAGAUACUCCAAAGGAAGUUAAUUUAUUGAUGAACUAUAUGUAAAUAUAGUUAUAAGUUACGCAUGUCUAUAAUUUUAUGCAGUUUGGUACUUUUCAAUUGCUACGACUGUACUAUAAGAUCGAAAAAAAGGGCUCGAGUAGACCAUGGAAUUUAUUUUCUUGUUACGACCUUGUGACUGUGUUCCUUGUUUAGUUUGAUUUUGACAUUUAUGAUCAAGUGAAGUGUCAAAUACGUACGAUGCCAAAAUCAUUAUUUCAAAAUAGUUAUUUACUGUACUGUUGUUCAUGUCCUCAUUUUUAUACUGCGGUUUGGGGUAACUCCUGGAGUUCCCUCUUCAGUUCCUCACCUAGGGUACGACGUCAAUGGAGCAUAUCAUCGAAAAAAUUACCACUCUAAAUGUGGUGAUUGAACAAAACUUAUUGUUUUGUCCACAU